UGCUCCUGGCAAUGGACAAAGAGACAGCACCUUCUUGGUGGUGGUGAUCUUAUACCAGUCAAGGGCAGAGCAGCCGGCAGUCCUCUGUUCCUCUUAGCUUGAUGCCUGGCUUUGUGGCCAAAGCUUAUGCCUAGGACUCAUAA